UGUUUCCAGAUUAGAAAUCAAACCAAAUAAGAACUGUCGCUGCACACGUUGGAAAAUACCAGUACCAUUGAACUUUUAUUUUAUCCCUGUAGGCUUGGGAAUAAUUCCCAAAUCCCACUUGGAUUAUCAGAGAUGUGCAUUCUUACUAGCCUGCUAGCCCGUGUCAGUUUGUCGAAUGUAAAAGGUAUUGUGAAGGCUAGUAUAAUAGAGGGUCGUUAUAUGGUAUCGCUAUUCGGCAUAGCAAACGUUUAAGGUUAAUGUCCAUCUCAUAGUGAACAAAAUUCACCCUGUUUCGGGUAAUGGAGGCACGAAAAACACCCAGUUUCACCUGCACAAUUUUUUCAAACUCUGAACUGAUGUAGGCAACGUUUCAGUUGUAAGAUACAACUUAAUACCGGUGUUCAGACGAAAUAAACCCGGCAGUUUUCACCCUUGGCAAUGCCAUUAGGCUUUACCACGCCGGAAGCUGGCGAUGAGCCUCGUUCUGACUCAUCGAACUCCGUAACGUAGUUACCGUUGCCGUUAUCGACGUCCCUUCUGUUUUCAACAGAAAAACGAUCGCUUUUGCUCCGCUGACCUCUACGUUUCGCUCACUGCUGUAUCAUUCCAAGUGUGUCUUCUUCCAAGAUGAAUACAAGGCUUCACAUUCAAGCUCGGGAGGACAUAAUUCGCUAUUAUGGCACUCCUGCGGCUGUGAGUUUGUGGCCGUCUCAGGAUGAGAAGUCCGACUGUGUAUGUAGUUUUACAUGCCCACCCUAUAAAUUCUUCCGUCUAGUAUAGCUGAUUUGUUGCACAUUAAGUCUGCCCAGUCCCUAUAAUAAAGUGUGAUUCGUUUUCUUUGCAAAAGUAUCCCGUAUUUCUGUCUCACUUGACUUCCUUUGUCCCUCCCUCCACCCCUCGAUGUGUAGCGUUCCCUGGCUGUGUCCCCUUCCCGUUGUCCCGACCCCCUGAGCGUUUUCACUCCGUUCUGGGCCCGCCCUGUCUACGGUGAGACGCUCCCCGCCCCCGUCACCAUCAACCACGCCGCUUACUAUCCUGCCCCAAGUGACGACGAUGACAGUGACUACUGGGUGUACGAGGACGAGGACGACCACAGCUUUGUGGAUGACAGAGAGAUUCAUCCCCUUAGAAAGGCGCUGACGAGAGCGGCUGCCUUCUUUAGGAAGAUCUUCUCUUAGACUCCUUAUCCUUUUAAUGUCUGAAUGUGUGCAAGUGAGUGAAUGAAUGAGCAGGUGUGUAUGUAUGUAUGUAUGUAUGUAUGUAUGUAUGUAUGUAUGUAUGUAUGUGUGCGUUUGUGUGAGAGUAAAUAUAAGUUUGAAUGAACAUGCAUGUGUGUGUAUGUAUAUCUGGUGAGAAAGAGAGACUGAAUGAAUAUGUAUGUUUGUGUGUGUGUGUGUGUGUGUAUUGUGUGCGUGUGUGAGAGUAAAUGAAAGAUUGAAUCGGCAUGUCUGUCUGUCUGUCUGUAUGCAUGUAUGUGUGUGUAUUUGUGUGUGAGUGUGAGAGAGUGAAUGAGCAUGUAUGUAUAAUAAUGUGUGUAUGUAUGUUUGUAUGUGUGAGAGGGAGAGUGUAUGUAUGUUAGAGGUGAGGGUUAGAGUGAAUGAACGAGCAUACAUGUAUGAGAGAGAGAGAGAGAGAGAGAGAGAGAGAGAGAGAGAGAGAGAGAGAGAGAGAGAGAGAGAGAGAGAGAGUGAGAGACUACCAUUCCAUAUACCCGCUCUUAGCGUAUUUUUGGCGUAUUUUUAGGCUCACAGUUUUGGCCCAACUUUCAGUUUCCUUUCGGCAAACCUCUUGGCUUAUAAGCAUGGCACAAGACCAUACUUUCUAUACAAUUUUGGCCCGUUUUUGGAUCUCCCUUGAGGCAUAUUACUUUCGACUUUCGGUCAUCUGAAUAAAUGUUUCUGUAAUGUA
rnacentral:lncRNA from 1 species